CCCUAUUCACCCCUGCCAACCCUAUUCACCCCGGUUGACGGUGUGUAAUUAAAUGCAAUCAGCCACAGACGAUUUUGUAACGGACUUGCGAAGGCAGUGAAGUCGAGUCACAUGGACUUAAAUAUGCAAUGAACGUUCAAGAAGGGCAUUGGUUAAUAUUAGAUAGAGCAAAGUUAUAUCUAUCGACACCUAUGUCUGGCUAUAUAAUUAUAAAGUACACAUAGUUUUGAGUAUAACUUGUUUAUGUCGUUAUAAGCCAUUCCAAAUUGGCCGUUUUUGUAUUGUACAUAUUUAUUUUAGUGCUUAGAUAUAGAUUAUUGUGUCCCUAAUAUUGGGUUAUUUUCAUUUAGCAAUCAAAGGUACUGUUUCGGUUUGUACAGCUGGCACCAAUCCAUACUAAUAUUAUAAAUGCGAAAGUCUGUCUGUCUGUCUGUCUGUCUGUGUGUUCCCUUUUCACGCCUAAACCGCUGAAUCGAUUUAGAUUAAAUUUGGCAUAGAGAUAGGUGGAGUCCCUGGGAAGGACAUAGGAUAGUUUUUAUCCCGAAAAUCAUCCCUUAAGAAAGUAAAAAGCGGGGUGGAAUUGAGAUAAUUAAUGAAGUGUCUGCUAAUUUGUGUGCAUAAUAUGCUCAAAUUGAAUAAUUGCUAUAAGACUUUCUCCAGGCGCUAUUCUUACUCUUGCUGUGGUUAUUAAGUCCACGCAGACGAAGUCGCGGGCAAAAGCUAGUUAUAAAUAAAAACAAAACUUUUACUAUCUAUAUAAUAUGGUAUUCACUGUACAACCUCUAAACGUCACCGUUAUAAGAACUUAUAAAAAUACACCAAAAUAGAUUGAGAUACCUACGCUAUUUGUUAAAAUAACCCAGAAGUAUGCGUUUACUAAAUCGAUCUAGUAAUAUUUUGGGGGCCUAUUCUCAAUAUACCUAGACUCCUAGACUAAACGGUUUGAAACGAUCGAAUAACGAUCUACCUUUUGUUAUUAUUGUAAAUAUUAUCGUUUCGUUAUCUAAUAAAUUUUAUAUUUUAUUUGUUU